rnacentral:rRNA from 1 species
UACGAAGGGGGCUAGCGUUGUUCGGAUUCAUUGGGCGUAAAGGGUGCGUAGGUGGCAUGGUAAGUCGGAUGUGAAAUCCCGGGGCUCAACCCCGGAACUGCAUUCGAUACUGCUGCGCUAGAGUACUGGAGGGGAGAUUGGAAUUUACGGUGUAGCAGUGAAAUGCGUAGAUAUCGUAAGGAAGACCAGUGGCGAAGGCGGAUCUCUGGACAGUUACUGACACUGAGGCACGAAGGCCAGGGGAGCAAACGGG